rnacentral:rRNA from 1 species
GACGAACGCUGGCGGCGUGCUUAACACAUGCAAGUCGAACGGAAAGGCCCUGCUUUUGUGGGGUGCUCGAGUGGCGAACGGGUGAGUAACACGUGAGUAACCUGCCCUUGACUUUGGGAUAACUUCAGGAAACUGGGGCUAAUACCGGAUAGGAGCUCCUGCUGCAUGGUGGGGGUUGGAAAGUUUCGGCGGUUGGGGAUGGACUCGCGGCUUAUCAGCUUGUUGGUGGGGUAGUGGCUUACCAAGGCUUUGACGGGUAGCCGGCCUGAGAGGGUGACCGGCCACAUUGGGACUGAGCUACGGCCCAGACUCCUACGGGAGGCAGCAGUGGAGAAUAUUGUACAAUGGGCGGAAGCCUGAUGCAGCAACGCCGCGUGCGGGAUGACGGCCUUCGGGUUGUAAACCGCUUUCGCCUUUGACGAAGCGUGAGUGACGGUAAUGGGUAAAGAAGCACCGGCUAACUACGUG